GAGGGCGCAGGCGGCGGACGCGGCGGCCGCGCGGUAGCCCCGCGCACGGCAACAGGGGCGCCCGGUACGGCACCGGGCGCCCCUUC
rnacentral:tRNA from 1 species